AUUGAACGCUGGCGGCAGGCUUAACACAUGCAAGUCGAGCGGGGUGAUGGUGCUUGCACUAUCACUUAGCGGCGGACGGGUGAGUACUGCUUAGGAAUCUGCCUAUCAGUGGGGGACAACAUCUCGAAAGGGAUGCUAAUACCGCAUACGUCCUACGGGAGAAGGCAGGGGAUCCCUUGUGACCUUGCGCUAAUAGAGGAGCCUAAGUCGGAUUAGCUAGUUGGUGGGGUCAAGGCCUAACAAGUCGACGAUCUGUAGCGGGUCUGAGGGGAUGAUCCGCCACACUGGGACUGAGACGCGGCCCAGAUUCCUACGGGAGGCAGAAGUGGGGAAUAUUGGACAAUGGGGUGAACCCUGAUCCAGCCAUGCCGCGUGUGUGAAGAAGGCCUUAUGGUUGUAAAGCACUUUAAGCGAGGAGGAGGCUCUUUUGGUUAAUACCCAAGAUGAGUGGACGUUACUCGCAGAAUAAGCACCGGCUAACUCUGUGCCAGCAGCCGCGGUAA
rnacentral:rRNA from 1 species